UACGUAGGGUCCGAGCGUUGUCCGGAGUUACUGGGCGUAAAGAGCUCGUAGGCGGUUUGUCGCGUCUGCCGUGAAAGUCCGGGGCUCAACUCCGGAUCUGCGGUGGGUACGGGCAGACUAGAGUGAUGUAGGGGAGACUGGAAUUCCUGGUGUAGCGGUGAAAUGCGCAGAUAUCAGGAGGAACACCGAUGGCGAAGGCAGGUCUCUGGGCAUUAACUGACGCUGAGGAGCUGAAAGCAUGGGGAGCGAACAGG
rnacentral:rRNA from 1 species